rnacentral:tRNA from 1 species
GGAGACUUACCCAAGUGGUUGAAGGGUCCAGUCUUGAAAACUGGUAGGGGAUGCAAGUCCCGCAAGAGUUCGAAUCUCUUAGUCUCC